GGGGGCGAACGGGUUCGACAGGGCUGGUUCGACUUAGAGUUGCGAGCCGAGGCGCCGCUGGCCUCGUAAAAAGCGGCAAAAAAAUAACUGCAAACAACAACUUUGCAUACGCUGCUUAAUUAAGCACGUCAUCGAGCUGACGCCAGCCGUAAGCGUUAGAAUCCGGUGUGAUCAAAUACGGAUCGUUUCGUGAGCUUCUGUUCGUAGCAAGCGCGACUAAAUAAACCGAACUGGGCAAGAAGUCAGCCGGCCCCUGGAGAGACUUCUGCCGAGACCAAGUAACGGGGAGACGCUCGUGGUAAUUUUGAGGGCGACAGUUUUGGAACGGGGUUCAAUUCCCCGCGCCUCCACCA
rnacentral:tmRNA from 1 species